UGAAUAGUUGCUUCUCAUUCCUCAUUCGGGAAACAAUGAAUUGUACUGAAUCAGCACCUAGAACGAACUUUAGUCAUUUAAAUUAUCAGUAUAGAUAUGUUUUAUUGUAGAGCACAACCUGAUAUCUACUCCUGUGACACUUGACUUUUUAGUAUAACUUCUGCUCAGGGAACUGCUGGACAUAAACAUUUUGUUGACAUAAUGAAUCUGUUAGUCAUGGAAUCAGGUGCUCAGACUCUCAAAUUUGUGAUCUUUUUAUAUGAUCCUGGGCAAUCCUUCCCUUAUGAGCUAGCUUUUGGGGUUGAGUUAGGCCCAUGGUCCAUUUCUUCACAUGGUAUUAGUGUUAGAUCCAUCGAUCCAUGUUAUUAUGUUUCUCUUUCUCAAUAUUGAUCCCCCGUGUUAUGUUUUCUAGUCCUGGGCACGCCCCUGCGUGGGGUGGGUGGGUGUCUCCUUAUAUGAUUUUGGGUAAUCCUUCCCUUAUGAGCUAACUUUUGUGGUUGAGUUACGUUCAACGUUCAUUUCUUCACGGUAUAUAUGCAAACACACACUAUUCAUUGGUUGAUAAUGUAGUUUGCAAGAACAUAGUACUUUAUUGAGGUUAUACAAGCGAAAGUGUACAACUCGGAUUAAAAUUGCAGGUUUGCAGUGAAAUAAUUGAAAUCUCCCUGCCUUCCUCUCCUUUGUCUUUACUUAUCUUUUUAUUUAUUUAUGACCUCAUAUCCUUUUUCUUUGAUUUGACAGGCUUGAUGCAAUUGUAACGGCUGAUGCUUUUAGAACUUUGAAGCCUGCUCCUGAUAUUUUCUUGGCUGAAUCACGGAUUCUUGAUGUUUCCCACUAGUGAGGUAGUUUCCAGGGUGUGCAAUGCUGCUUUGCUACCACCCAUCUCAUUUUUUUCUUUUUAGACACUUAGCUGUGGGUAGUAUGUGAUGCUAAUCUGAUGAGAAACUUAUAGUUAACUAAGAUAUCACUGAGGUUCACAUUCACAUUAUGUUUAAGUGAGAGUUCCCUACAUCAUUAUUCAUAAAUGACUGUAAUAAUCAGAUGAAGCUAGCUGGAAAAGAAAUUUAAGCAAAGAAGAAACUAAAAACUUGAUAAAUAUGUUAGAAACUUUUAUUUUGUAAAUUAUAUUUCUGGACAGAAAAGAGAUGCUCAGUCGUCAUUCUGUCAGUCAGAACAGUUUUUCUAAAUAUGGAUAUAAAAUAAUGGGGGGUGCAUUAUGAAUUGCUGAAGGUUCAUUGUUCGAGGAUGAUGAAGUUUUGAAGUGUUAAGUAGAUCAGUGUUGUGUUUGUCAACCUUGGUAGACAUUAUCAUAAUCCUCGAUGUUGACAGUGUAUUGUGAUUGAAGAUGCAUUAGCUGGAGUACAAGCUUCCAAAGCUGCAGAAAUGAGUUUUUUUUUAAACUGAAAAAAAAAAACUCAAUUCUGCAGCUUUAGGAGUUUGUACUCCAGCUAAGUUGUUGGUAUCGCCAACCCUACUUGAACUUCCUUCGUUUGUUGCAUCUGCUAACUGAAUCAGCAUCAUUCUAAUGUACCUCUUUGCUUCUGGUUUUAGUGAUCAAUUUUUUCUUUGAUGAAGUGUUUCAUAAAUCACAAAGGCAUCAAGGAGAUGCAUAGUUACAAAAGAGGAGGAGAUGCCAGUUCAUACAAAAAUAACAAAAACAUAAGUCUAAAGAGCUGACAAAUCCAAAGGUUUAUCACAAGACUAAAGAGUUGAUAAAAUCCAAAUAAGAAUCUGGGUUAUAUGGGUAAGAUCAAUCCAGCUAAAAAAGAAUCUGGUUUAGUGAUCAAUUUGAUUCCAUUUUUUCUACAUUCUUAAGUAUGUUGACUUACUUGCAGAUAGCUGUGACAACAACACUAUCAGAAGAUACUUUAAAAGCAGCGGAGCCAUCCCUCAUCAGAAAGGAGAUAAGCGAUAUUUCACUUGAAGAUAUCCUCGAUGGUGACUCUGGUAGCCAUAGUAUGUAGUUAAAUUAACAUGUUAAGAGCUGCCCAUUUUCAUGUACCAUUGACAAAUGUAGAAUGCUGAAGCUCUUUUGUGUUAUUUAUGGAAAAACUUGCGAAUAAGCUCAUUUUUGUAAUGACUCUAUAAUUUGUUGAAGGAUAUCCUGUUCACUGCUCCCCUAAGCUGUAUGCUUUAGCUGCUAACUAUUGUCUUUUUCCUAGUUGAUGGAAAGCUGCUGGUUCUAGUGUUCCUCUAGCAUAUCAUCUGUAGUUAAUAGUGGCUCCCUUUUUUAUGCUUACUAGAAAUGAAUCUAUUGAUGACAAACAAUGCAGAUGUGAUGGUGCAGGAAUCUCAAUCCAUUAAUGAUCUAGCUCUCUCUUCCCCUGAAUCCAAUAUGACAGGGAGAAUCACAGAGCUAGAUAAUUAUCCAAUAAGUGAAGCCUGUACUAAUUAACUCAUUUGGAUCCACUUUUUUCAACUUCUCAGCACACUUUACAGAUUCCCUAAUUGAUGAUGUUUGUUUGCAGAGCAUGCUAGGUCGGAAAAUGCUUGAAUUCAAACUGAGAAGUCUGGUGCUUUCGAUGCUGAAGAAACUAUUAGCUCACACUCAACCUUGACCAAAGCUUCAAACUCUGUGAGAAGUUUUUUGAUAUCUGUGUUAAAGCUUCUAUGCUGGAUAAAUAUUAAGCUUCUUUAUCUUGCCCUGUUUAUUCUAUUACCUUAAAAACUAUUUGCAGUGUGGGCCAGCCAUGGGGAUGAUAUAAGCAUCCAGUAUUCUGGUACUCCAGCUUUAAAGGGAAAUUUUGUCAGGUAACAACUUUCUUGUUCUGCUAAAAGAAGAUGGUAUCAUAUGAAGGCAGCAUUAGUGCAAAGCAUAUUUUUGGGGAGUGCAAUAAUAUAAAUACAUAUGUAGUAGGAUUCAAACCCUGACCAAAGUUCCUAAAUCAACGAACAUUAUAUAACCCAUCAUUGACAUUGGUACUAAUUUUUGGCCAAUUAAAUUCAUAUCAAGAGUAAGCAUCUGGGAUUGGAUCUUUAAAUGCCAACUGCACAAAUUUAUCUCAAGAUCAUGAUGGACAUAGCAUACAACUAAAAAAGUUAUAGUCAACAAGUUGAUUUUAUGACCUCAAGCCUUUUCUUUUGUCGAUCAAUAUCACUAUAAAAUCUACAUUGUUGUUUGAUAUGCAGAUGUGGUCACAGAACAGCCCAGGGGGUUCUUGCUGACGGAUGUAAUGCCCUAACAUGAUACUACUUGAACAAUUUUGUUGAUGGUACUAAACAGGUAAUGAUGCUUCUUACCAGCAAUUAGUUGUUAGGUUUGUACGUCAUGUCAAGUAGGUAACAUUCAUUAUGUGCUGUCACCAGCAACUUGGUUUCAUACUAAUCCGCCAUUUGAAAUUUUGGAAAGCAUUCUUUAAAUGGUACUUAGCUUCAUGUAUGCACGCCAUCUGCAAACUAUUAACUGAACCUAGUAGUAUUAUUUCCAGUGUGCUGCCAUUUUAUUGGAUUAGUUUCUUGUUGACUACUAGGAGAUACUCCCUCAGUUUCAAUUUGUUUGUUUGAUUUUGACUUGACACGGAGUUCAAGAAAAUAAAGAAAGUGUUAAAUUAGGUCUUAGGCCUAACUCACACCCCAAAAGCUAGCUCUUGAGGGGAGGUUUGUCCAAGUCCAUAUAAGGAGACCAAAUUCCCAUCCCUCUACCGAUGUGGGACAUCUUAACAGAGAAUUUUGAAUCUUGUGUUCCUUUCAAGAAAAGGAAAAAAUCAUUCUUUCUAAAACGGACUAAAAGGGAAAGUAAUACAAACAAAUUGUAACAGGGGAGUACUUUAAUGUUUUCCGAGGAAAGAAAGGACUUUGAACUGACACACAUAAUUUCUGCAUUAUUUUGUUCUUAAUUACAUAACAUCUGUUUGCACUACUAAUUGCUAAGGAUGUCACAGAGUGUACUGAUGAAACAUCCAUAUAUAUAUAUAUUACUUGUAUAAACCUAGCUUCAUAAUGCAUACAUGUGUUGCAAGUAUCAGAGUUUACAAUUCUUGUGUUGUUAUGUUCUGUAUUUUGCAUAUCCCACUUAAAUUGAUUCGCAAAGGCGAUGAUUUGGUAAUCAACUUUGUGUUUCAGUGUCUGUAGCAUUUUAAUUAUGAUGGAGAAGGGAGACCCUUCACAGAAAUUAUAUACAAGGAUGCGGCCUUUGGGAAUUUCCAGAUCAGUAUGUUGUUGAGCCUACUGAUGGAUCCUGUGGUUUGUGCUUGGAGAUCAGUUUGCGUGAAUGUGUCUGUGAAACUAAUUGGUUGCUUCUUUUACUCUUUAUAAAUUUCUUCCGGACUUAAAUUAUUUAUUAAGCUAAUGAUAUGUACUUGUUUGCUAUGUUAGAUGAGGUUCCAGAACGCAGUUCGGUUCGUGUUCCCAAAAUUCAGAAAAUAUUUGGUGUUAUGGGCAUACUAAAGCUUUUGGCUGGUAAGAACUUUUAGGAAGAACUAAAAGAUCAGGAAUUUGUUUUUUAUAUUUCAAUAGCAGGUCAGCUCUCUGACAUACAUCAAUAAAUCUUUACAUUAUCAGGAAAAAAUGUCUAUUAUAUUUGCCAAGAAUGUACCCUUUGUGUUGCUCAUUCUCUUGAAGAAUUUUGUUCCAUAAAAUUAUCACACACAUAUACAAAGUAUAUACCAAUGUCUUGGUCUUGUUCAAUUAUGCGUUUGACGGGUAUCUUACAUCUUAGGUAUUGAGCUAAACCAGGACUAUGAAAUUUACGACAAAUUUUAUCAUGACACUGAAAAACAUUUUUUGACUAUUAUCCUUAUCUCAAAAGAAGAUUGAAAAGACAUAACAUGGUAGAAUGUUAAAGGUUGCUCUGAUCUAGUGUGUGCUGCUCUUGCAUUCAGGUUCAUAUGUACUGGUCAUAACGAACCGUGAAUGUGUUGGAUCUUACUUUGGGCACCCAAUCUUCAAAGUUUCAUCGAUGAAAUUUUAUCCUUGCUAUAUCAGUCUCUCAAGAACUCUACUGCUGAAAAGGUAGGUUUCCGAUUUCCUAGUUAAUUUCCUACCCUAUUUUUUUUUUAAUCUCAUGCUGGUGUCUUCUAUUUCUGUUCCUAUGAUAUUGCUUUGGCUUUUGGCAGAAAACAUGGAAGCUCAGUUUGCCGCACUGCUUAAUGUCGUAGAGUGAACUCCUGGUCUGUACUUCUCUUAAUAUGUCAAUAUAACAUUGAGGUGAAUUGUCUUUUCAACCUUCUGACUGCUUGUAUGUUGCCUUUUUUCUUCUUUCCUUGUCUUGGUGUACCAUUAGAAGUUAACUAACAAGCCUAGCUGCUUAUUUCAAUUAAGAACUUCUUAUUAAAAUAAAAUAUUAUCAUUAUAAUACUACUGAAUUGUGAUUUAGCAUUUUGGAGGAUCCUUUUUUCCUUUUUACUCAUUGAAAACCUUUUUGGUAUAGUGGAGGAGAUGGUAUCUCGAGUUUACCAUUAGUAGAAUUUACAUAAAUUUGCGUGAAAAGGGCGUAUCAUCACUUAUUCUUAAACAUAUGAAAUUAACCAGGAACAUGCUGAAGAAUCAGUGAAAUCAUUCACAAACUGUUUUGAUGGAUGUAGUUCUCUGAACUGCACGGCAGAGUAAGUCCACAAAGAGUACACAAAUGGAGCAAAUAUGCUGUAGUCAAUAGUCACUUUCGAUUAGACCUUAUCUAAAAUAGUCACUUAAGAUUCUGUGUGUUUCUGAUAUCUAACUGCUCCAUGCCUUAGUUUUCAUAUCUGAUGACUAGUUGCUGUUUAUGUGAUGAUUAAGGGGACAACAGAUAGCAUAUUGAAACUAUUGAAAAUGAGUACCAAAAACUUGUUCUCCUUGCUCGUCAUCUUUUAGAAGGAUUUUUUCUUCUAUAACAUAAGCUUAUUCACUGUAUCAUAUUUCAAUCAGCAAAGAAGUGUAUCUGAGAGGUAUUGUGAAAAAUAACGAAUUAACAUGGUUCUGCCGAUAGGUCAGAUGACUCCACGGGGAAGAGGAAAUUUUGUGAUCGGUCAUCUCCCGUGGUAACUUUGCACUCUAAUGAUAGGGACAGUCCAGUAGAAAAAAGGAAGUGCAAGAAUGAUAGUCACCUAGUUUCGACAGGUUUGUUAUUCUUCAUUAUCACAAAGACUUACAGUUCUUUAAGCUUCGGAACUUCUCAUUGGAAUGUCACUUUUCAAGAAAAUUUCUUUAAGCCAUCAAUGGACACACUCAUGCUUUAUGUCCUAUAAAGCUGGGGAUGGACCUAAGUUGGUACAAUUGUAGAGACUAAACAUUAUGGAAUUGCUAUUUUUGUGGUCUAACUGUGAAAAGGAAUUGGUAGAUUUCUAAUAAUGUAGUGACAAGAAUAUAUAAUAUAUCUACCAGACUUGUCUAGACAAAAAAAAAAAAGAAGUGCGGGGUGGGUGGGGGUGGAAGAGACUUGUUAUGCAAAGAUACUUCCCACAACAAACUCACACCUCAAAAGCUUACUUGAACUACUCCUGUAUCACUCUUGAUCGUCUCUUUGAUUGGAUAUGAUUUAAAUGCCAAAUAUUUAUUCUAUUUUGGUGUAUAUGACAUGUAUGAAUUCCCUUUGAUGAAGAAAUGUUUUAAGCCAAAAAGAAAACAGGAUAGGAGAUAAAUGAGGGGGAACAGAUGAAAAGUGAGAGAUACAUGGCAUCAAGAUUAAUCUUUGCAGCAAUACAUACUAGAAGUUCUUUUACCUCUUUCAUUAAAAAAAAAAUUACAGAGUAGAAGAUGUUAUUUGCUUCCAUUUAGAAGUCAUCAAUUAACCUUAAAAGACAUGUAUCUAUCCUGGCAUGUCCCAUUCAGAUGUGUGCUAUUUGUUUGGAUCUAAGUUACCCUUCAUGCAAUUACUUGAAGUCUUGAAUUGAUACUAGUCCUUGCAAUGUCUUAAAGUUACUAUCUGUCCAACUUAACCUCAAAUUUGAGUUUGUUACCUCAGGCACUGUCAUAUUUUCUUAGGUCAGGACUCAAAUUGAUCAUAAAUUUUUCUUUCAGUAGGGCCAGAGACACCAGAGCAAAAAUCUCAGAGUUCAUCAACCAACAGGUAUCUGAGGAAACACCUCGGUGCUCCAAUAAGAGGAAGGAGUUCAUAUCAGAUGUAUUUCAAGUUGGAAUGUGAAAGACUAAAGAAAAUACUUGGGGAGAGUUCUGGUUCUAAGAAAAUCAGUGAUAUGGCCAUUAAUGCCUGGAAGACUGACUGAAAAUGACAAAGAGGUACGAUGAAGUACUUGUCAUAUUGUUGCUAGCAGAUUUAAAAUGAUAUGAUUCACCUCCUAUGUUUCUUUAAACAUAAUUUACACUGCUCCAUGUAACAAGUGGGAAGUAAAACUUUUUUCCUUGUUCAUCAUUUCCUUCCAACUUUUGCAGCCUUAUAUUGAAGCAAGUAAGCUGGAUAAGGAAAGAUAUAUCCGAGAACGGCUGCUUAUGAACAGCAUAAGAACAAAGAAACUACAACAAAUCCAAACUUGCACAGGGGUUUGGUCCCGAGUAUGAUCAAUUUUGGUGCACCAUCAGUAAUUGAUCAUGUGACUUCGCAAGCUGACACUGGAAGCAACAUUAUCCCUGAUGCAGCCUUUAUCGAGUCCACUGUACAAAUACCGAAUAAUGGUAAGACAAGUAACCCCAUAUUUCAGUUGCUACCUUGGUGGGUUUAGGAAGAUAUGUAUAGGUUUCUAUCUGUAAGUAUCUUACAACCUUAGCAUGAUGUUUUGGAGAUGUAUAUAGCUUCUAGUCUUUGAAAACUAGCGUGUCAAGAAGCAGCAUUUGUAGGUUAUUGUUGUCCUUGUCGUAUUAUUGUGAUUCUUUUAAUUUUUGAUAUCUAUCACCGUCUGUUAUUUAUUGUGUUUUAAUUAUCGGAUUGUUUUGUUGUUUUUGUUUCUAUCUCGUAAGCUUUGUACUACUUCCCUUUAGUUAUCGUGUUUUUUUAGGAAGAAGUCAAUUUUAUUGCUUAGAAAUAGUGUUUCAAGGAAAAAAAGAUGCAAAAUUUCUUUAAGACGAAACAUAAGAUUGUCUGCUGUAAAAUGUCUUCUAACAAACAAACAAAAAAGAGACGUUUGAAUUUUCAAAAAACAUUACCAUGACUUUUUAAAACAUAAUGUUCACUCUAAUAUUGACGUUUAAAUUUAUUUUUAUAAUUGAAAAUUCUAAAAAGAAGUGUACAAGAUAAGUGAGCAUAUUAACUAGAUUGCUUCAAGUAUUCAAGAGUGUGACUUAGUAAUUAAUGAACUGACUUGAGAACAAUGAAAUUUUAGCUAAAUUUCUUCUUAUUUGUCAAAGCUUUAUGUAUUUAUGUAUAAUAGAAUUUUAUUUUUUUUAAAAGCCCCAAGAUUUUCCGUCACAUAAAAAAAAAGACAAAUAAAUUCUAAUUAUCCGCUUAUUUCCAAAGCGGAUAAAAGGGUAAAAUAGUACAAUCACAUGGAACUCAACGGCAUCCCCUUCCCCGCCACCCAAUAACAAUUAUAUAAAGGCUUUUUCAGUAGAAGCAAAGGCCAAAAGAAUUGAGAGAAAAAAUGGCGUUAAGGCUUACCCCCUCUCUACUGCCCACUUAUAAUCAUGGAAAACCCAAACUAGCUACACUUUUCAAUUCAAGAUCCAAAUUAUCCUUUCAAUUUCUUUCAAAACCCUUCAGAAUCUUGGAGUUUGAAUCAAGAAAAACGGGUUUAAAGGUGAGUGCUUCCCAAAAAUUGGAAGAGAAGAAUGUAUCGGAUACCCAAUGGAGGAAAGUGUCGGCUGUGUUGUUUGAUAUGGAUGGUGUGCUCUGCAAUAGUGAGGAGUCAUCAAGAAAAGCGGCUGUGGAUGUUUUUGCUGAGAUGGGUGUUCAAGUUACCGUUGAAGACUUUGUGCCUUUCAUGGGCAUGGGUAAAUUCUUAUUCUUCUUGAAUUUCUUGAUUUAUUACAUUCUUUUUAUUUAUUUUCUUUUGAAUUUUGGUACUGGUUCUUGAACAAUUGAACCAACACCAACACCAACCGGUUCUUGAACAAUUGAACCAACACCAACUAGUUCUUGAUUUGUAUGUUUGGGAACUACUGACAAUUUUGGGUGUUUUUGUUGAAUUCACUAACUUCUUUAAGAAGCGGAGAAUGAAGUGUAAAGCAUCAGUCCAAUGGGCAAUUUUUUACGGUUCAAUGUUCUUCUUGAAUUUCUUGAUUAUUACAUUCUUUUUUAUUUUUUGUCUUUGAAUUUUUUGAAUUUUGUAUUCUUCUUGAGUACUCUCUUGGGAAUUUCUUGAUUAUUUGCGUACUUCGAAUUUUCGGGACAAAGGUUUCUUUGUCAAUCUGUUUAUAUGUAUUUGGAUUUUCCCUUCUUGAUUUUCUUUUAAUUGUUUAUAUUUAUUUGGAUUUUCCCUUCUUGAUUUUCUUUUAAUUGUUUAAUGUGAAAGAUGGGUAUGAAAGUAUCAUUGCUUCCCGCGGUGUACUAUUUCAGCGUACUGGUUCUUGAACUAUUGAACCAAUACCUACUAGUUCUUGAUUGAAAAGUAGUUUCUUGAUUUAUAGGUUUGGGAACCAUUGACAAUUUUGGGUGUUUUUGUUGACUUCGCUAGCUUCUUUGGAUAAUCAUGCCUUAAGAAGUCGAGGAUAAAGCGUAAAGCAUCAGUCCAAUGGGAUUUUUUUUUUACGGUUCAAUGUUAUUCUCAAAUUGCCUCAUUAUAUCUUUUAAGGCUUUACCUCAGCCAUUGGUCAUUCUGUUUAAAGGCUUGCUGAUGAAUUUGAUGAAGUAAUGAUUAAGACAGCUAAUGUAAUAUGGAAAAAAAGAAAAAAAAAAAUUUAUCAAGAAUCUCUGUGCAGUCCCCUCCAUGGGAACUUUGUUAUGUAAGAAACUAGUAAUCUUCAUCUACCUCAUUGAGUAUUUGAUUUUUGUGAAGCAUCAUCUCUUUCCCCUUAAAUAAUAGGUUUUGAUUCUGGUUGUAGAUCUUAUCAUUUGCUUACUUUCAUGCAUAUAGCUAGCCGAGGCCUUAGGUGAAUUCUUUCAUUCACUAUGUUAAAUUAGGACCCUUUUCCAUGAGAAACACUUGUGCUAAAAAAAUCAUCCAUAUUGUCUAUGAAACUUAUCUUUUGAUUGGAUCCAUACAUCGAUUAAAUUUUCUGAUCUCAAGUUACUCUUCUUUUCGACCCCAAGUAAUAAAAAAAAUUAGUUUGAUGUUACUAUCCUUUAGGAAAGGAGUCUUUGAUUGUGUAACACCUUGUUCCUUUGCCAUAUUUUCUCAAUGACUUUUUCUCCUUUUCAUUUUCCUUUACCCUCGAAAUAUAUUAGGUGAAGCAAACUUCUUAGGUGGUGUUGCUGCUGCUAAGGGUGUUGAAGGAUUUGAUACUGAGGCUGCCAAGAAGAGGUUUUUUGAGAUAUAUUUAUUAAAGGUGAUUGAAAUUUCAUAUAUUUCCCAGACCCCACCUAGUGGGAUUUCACUGGGUUGUUGUUGUUGUUGAAAUUUCAUAUAUUUACGAAUAUCUACUCUCAAAGCACUUUGAUUUCACUGGGUAUGUUGUUGAUGUAAAGCACUUUCCUUUAAGUCGUGGUAACUGACUCCAUAACUGACAAUUUUAUUGAUAAACUGAUAAUCAUUUGCAGUAUGCAAAACCGAAUUCUGGCAUAGGUUUCCCUGGUGCCUUUGAACUUGUCUCUCAGGUAUGUAUAACCUGUGAUGCGACAUGACUAUAUGUGGUCUUGCUCUUUCUGUUUUUGUUACUUUUCAUUAAUUUGGUGAUAUGGUACGCCAGUGUAAAAGCAGUGGUCUCAAAGUUGCUGUUGCAUCUAGUGCUGACCGGAUUAAAGUUGAUGCAAACUUGGCUGCAGCUGGUUUACCAAUAACGAUGUGAGUUAACAUAAUGCGCUUUAACUGUGAAUAGUUGCUUCUCAUUCCUUUUAUAAUUGGCAUUCAAGAAACACUGGAUUGUACUGAAUCAGACCAAGUUCAAAAAAAACAACAACACUGGAUUGUACUGAAUCAGACAUAGCAAGAACUUUAUCUACUUAAAUUAUCAGUAUAUUUUUUUUUUGAUGAAGUAAGAAGAAUGUCAUUAACAAAGCAUCAAGCAGAUGCACAGAUUACAAAAGAAAGAAAUAUCAGCUCCCAAAAAGGCAAAAAAAGCUAUCUAAACAGCUAACAGCAGAGAUCUAUGGAGCUGAUAAAUUCUAGGAAAGAAUCGACACUAAGUACAGGAGAGAGAUUAACCCAACCAAAAAGAGUAAUCAAACAUCUUGCUUUAAAGGUAGAGAUGGGAGUUGGGGUGCCAUCAAAACAUCUUUUGUUCCUCUCCGUCCAUAAGCACCACAAAAUACAGGCUGGAACCAAAGACCAGAUCUGCUUGACGGACUUCCCAACUUUCCAAGAACUCCAACACACAAAAGCCUCUCUCAAUGAUCUUGGCAUGACCCAAGUGAGUCCAAAAAGUGAGAAGAACAUGUUCCAUAGGCCUGUUGCAACUGUGCAAUGAAGGAACAAGUGAUUAAUAGAUUCUGAGUUGCACAAGCACAUGUAGCAUCUGUUGACUAUUUGGAAUUUCCUCCUCAUGAGAUUAUUCUGAGUCAAGCAAGAGUCUUUUAGAGUAAUCCAACUGAAACAAAUAACUUUAGGUGGCAACUUAGUUCUCCAGAUUAAUUUCCAUGGCCAUUGAUCAAUUACGGUCUUCUUGGAGCUUUGUUGAAGGUAGCAUGCUUUAACUGUAUAGAUAUGCUUUAUUUUAAAGAACUACCUGAUAUCUACUCCUGAGAUGCUUAGCUUUUUUGGUAUAACUUCUGCCGAGGAAAUUGCUGGACAUAAACAUUUUGUUGACAUAGUGAAUCUGUUAGUCAUGGAAUCAGGCGCUCAAACUCCAAAGGUUGUGAUCUUAUAUGGUCCUCGGCAAUCCUCCCCUUAUGAGCUAACUUUUGUUGUUGAGUUAGACCCACUGUCCAUUUCUUUACGCAGUAUCAAAGUCAAACCCCAUCGAUCCUUGUUGUUAUGUUUCUCUUUCUCAAUAUUGAUCCCCCGUGUUACGUUCUCUGUGAUUAGAUUUUCUAGACCUGGGCGUGUCCCGAGGGGGGGUCUCCUUAUAUGGUUUUGAGCAAUCCUCCCCUUAUAAGAACUUUUUGUGGUUGAGUUACAUUCAAGGUCCAUUUCUUCAUGGUAUAUAUGCAAACACACACACACUAUGCGUUGGUUGAUAAUGUAGUUUGCAAGGACAUAGUAGUUUAUUGAGGUUAAAGUGUACAACUCGGAUGAAAAACACAUGUUUGCAGUGAAAUAAUUGAAAGCUCCCUUCCUCCCUCGCCUUUGUCUUUAGUUAUCCUUCUAUUUAUAUUUGACCUCAUAUCCUUUUUCUUUGAUUUGACAGGUUUGAUGCAAUUGUAU
rnacentral:lncRNA from 1 species